GCGCUUGUGGUGUAGUGGUCAUCACGUCCGCUUUACACGCGGAAGGUCUCAGGUUCGAACCCUGACAAGCGCA
rnacentral:tRNA from 1 species